GGCGAGAGGACAGCUACCAUGUCCGUUCUCGAAGCAGUUAUGAUGAUCGUUCGUCCGACCGGAGGGUGUAUGACCGGCGAUACUGUGGCAGCUACAGACGCAACGAUUAUAGCCGGGAUCGGGGAGAUGCCUACUAUGACACAGACUAUCGGCAUUCCUAUGAAUAUCAGCGGGAGAACAGCAGUUACCGCAGCCAGCGCAGCAGCCGGAGGAAGCACAGACGGCGGAGGAGGCGCAGCCGGACAUUUAGCCGCUCAUCUUCGGUGAGUGCCAGCCCAGGCCCUUCCUCUCCCCACUCUUCUGCAGGCCCUCUAGGACUCUGGUAAGUGAGCAGUAUCCUUGUUCUCAGCUGAACAUUGGGGCAUGAACACUGAGGUGGGCACUGAGUUUGCCUACUUUCUUGGAAGCUCUCCGACUCUUGAAGGGCCCUGGAUCUGCUUUGGAGAUGGAUGGGCACGGAGCAUUUGUGACCCCCAGUGCUCUCCCUGGCAUGUUGGGCUUAUUGUGUUGGGAGCAGCUUCUCCGCCCCAGCGGCCUCCACUCUUUAAUGGGGACCUUGCUUGUGAACUGCCUUUUUCCCCCAAG
rnacentral:lncRNA from 1 species